rnacentral:rRNA from 1 species
UACAGAGGUCUCAAGCGUUGUUCGGAUUCAUUGGGCGUAAAGGGUGCGUAGGUGGCGCGGUAAGUCGGGUGUGAAAUUCGGAGCUUAACUCCGAAACUGCAUUCGAUACUGCCGUGCUUGAGGACUGGAGAGGAGACUGGAAAUUUACGGUGUAGCAGUGAAAUGCGUAGAGAUCGUAAGGAAGACCAGUGGCGAAGGCGGG